GCCUCCUCACCACCUCCAUCAUUUCUCCGGCUGUUGAUUCUGCUGCUGCUGCUAAGUUUCCUUCAAAAGCUGAUGAAGAUGUUUCUGAAUACGAGAGAGAAGUGGGUGUUGUUGAUCGAAUUAAUUGAUGAGAAGAGAAGAUUUCUUUUGUUCUUUCUCGUCUGUUGCUGAAGAAGAGCUGCGAUUGAUUCAGUGAUUCAUAGGAUAUAGAUCUAGUGACCGUAAUCGAAGUUGAGAUGGGUUUAUUUGGUUCGAUUUAGUGGUGGUGUUAUUCAAUUCUUGGUUAUAAUCAAAAGAAGAUGAAUUUGAGAUGAACUGAAAAGAGGAGAAUGUUGCGGAUGUGGUGUGAGUUGAUGUGAAGCUUGGGGUGCUACUAAUGGGUUG